GCCACGCUGAUGCGAUUUCGGUCAAAUCAUGUGGCAUUCGAGUGGCGGACGGGUGAGUAACGCGUGGGUAACCUGCCUUACACAGGGGGAUAACACCUGGAAACAGGUGCUAAUACCGCAUAAGCGCACAGGGCCGCAUGGCCCGGUGUGAAAAACUCCGGUGGUGUAAGAUGGACCCGCGUCUGAUUAGCUUGUUGGCGUGGUAGGGGCCCACCAAGGCGACGAUCAGUAGCCGGCCUGAGAGGGUGGACGGCCACAUUGGGACUGAGACACGGCCCAAACUCCUACGGGAGGCAGCAGUGGGGGAUAUUGGACAAUGGGGGAAACCCUGAUCCAGCGACGCCGCGUGAGUGAAGAAGUAUUUCGGUAUGUAAAGCUCUGUCAGCAGGGAAGAAAGAAAUGACGGUACCUGACCAAGAAGCCCCGGCUAACUACGUGCCAGCAGCCGCGGUAAUACGUAGGGGGCAAGCGUUAUCCGGAAUUACUGGGUGUAAAGGGAGCGUAGACGGUGAUGCAAGUCUGGAGUGAAAGGCGGGGGCCCAACCCCCGGACUGCUCUGGAAACUGUGUAACUUGAGUGCAGGAGAGGUAAGCGGAAUUCCUAGUGUAGCGGUGAAAUGCGUAGAUAUUAGGAGGAACACCAGUGGCGAAGGCGGCUUACUGGACUGUAACUGACGUUGAGGCUCGAAAGCGUGGGGAGCAAACAGGAUUAGAUACCCUGGUAGUCCACGCCGUANACGAUGAUUACUAGGUGUCGGUGGGUAUGGANCCACCGGUG
rnacentral:rRNA from 1 species